rnacentral:rRNA from 1 species
AACGAACGCUGGCGGCAGGCUUAACACAUGCAAGUCGAGCGCCCCGCAAGGGGAGCGGCAGACGGGUGAGUAACACGUGGGAACGUACCUUUUGCUACGGAAUAGCUCUGGGAAACUGGAAUUAAUACCGUAUGUGCCCUUCGGGGGAAAGAUUUAUCGGCAAAAGAUCGGCCCGCGUCUGAUUAGCUAGUUGGUGGGGUAAUGGCCUACCAAGGCGACGAUCAGUAGCUGGUCUGAGAGGAUGAUCAGCCACACUGGGACUGAGACACGGCCCAGACUCCUACGGGAGGCAGCAGUGGGGAAUAUUGGACAAUGGGCGCAAGCCUGAUCCAGCCAUGCCGCGUGAGUGAUGAAGGCCUUAGGGUUGUAAAUCUCUUUCGCUAGGGAAGAUAAUGACGGUACCUAGAGAAGAAGCCCCGGCUAACUUCGUGCCAGCAGCCGCCGUAA